rnacentral:lncRNA from 1 species
GUAGAGAAAACAUCCUGUGAAGUGAGAACCAAAAACCACAUCAGUAUGUUCCAUAUAGUUACAGUCAAAUCAAACAAAAUUCUGUCCUAUGAGUUUUGAAAGAUACUAUCAAGCAUGAAGGCAGGGGACUCAUAAAGCUAACGGAUGGAAAUAGCUAUACCAGAUGACCCCUUUCUACACCUGUGUGUAUGCUGCCCCUGCCGUCACUGUUCUGGCAUUAACCGUCAAUUUGUAGGAAGCAGUGUAUGGAUGAAACCAUUACGCCUGCUGUGGCUGGAACAUGGACACAUAAACAGAGGCAGGAUGGCGGUGUUCUGAGAGAUUUAGAGAAAUGACGUUGCCUAUGUCCAGAUCCUCUGGGACUGCCAGUUGGUCUCCUGCCCCUUUAAGAUGAACCGAAGUCCUUCUCCCACCCUAGAAGUGUAGGAGGGUCAUUUCCCUUAAGCCUUGCCUUGCUGUUUGAUCAUCUCUCUGAGAGUUUCUGGUGUUGAGCGCCCCUCUUCCAGGCCUGAUCUACCGAAGGAACUACAUUACCCAGAAAGCUUUGCGUUGAGCGGCAGCGGUAAUAACCCAAUGAAAACCCAGAAAAGGAACAUUUCCGGCAGAGCGAACCGCCUUGAGGCGGGGCUUCCGUCGUUUCUGUGGCGGUCAUUUUAGCGGUUCUGGGGCUUGGGGGCUCGGUAAGAGGAUCCGGAACACGGAUUGGGACCCACGCGACGGACAGAGAAGGUACGAGAGGAGGCUUUGUCCACACUGUAGGGAGGCGGGUCUACUGCUGGGGACAUCGCUGCCUGCGAGGCCUGCAGGCUUCAGUGUCGGCGACUGCCCAGGUCGCUCAGCUGUCAUCACUUCACUUCGCCCAGAACCUCCG